AAAUUGAAGAGUUUGAUCAUGGCUCAGAUUGAACGCUGGCGGCAGGCCUAACACAUGCAAGUCGAGCGGUAGCACAGAGAGCUUGCUCUCGGGUGACGAGCGGCGGACGGGUGAGUAAUGUCUGGGAAACUGCCUGAUGGAGGGGGAUAACUACUGGAAACGGUAGCUAAUACCGCAUAAUGUCGCAAGACCAAAGUGGGGGACCUUCGGGCCUCAUGCCAUCAGAUGUGCCCAGAUGGGAUUAGCUAGUAGGUGGGGUAACGGCUCACCUAGGCGACGAUCCCUAGCUGGUCUGAGAGGAUGACCAGCCACACUGGAACUGAGACACGGUCCAGACUCCUACGGGAGGCAGCAGUGGGGAAUAUUGCACAAUGGGCGCAAGCCUGAUGCAGCCAUGCCGCGUGUGUGAAGAAGGCCUUCGGGUUGUAAAGCACUUUCAGCGGGGAGGAAGGCGUUAAGGUUAAUAACCUUGGCGAUUGACGUUACCCGCAGAAGAAGCACCGGCUAACUCCGUGCCAGCAGCCGCGGUAAUACGGAGGGUGCAAGCGUU
rnacentral:rRNA from 1 species